UAGCUUCAGUUAUAGAGAGGAAGUAUGAGAGAGAUUUUGAUAAUUUUGCGUCGUUCUAACGCGUUUGUCGAUGUUUCGGUUUUGAAUUUUGGAUUUAGGUUCGGGUUCAGGCUCGAAUUUUAUAAUUUGUCGAAAAAAAAAACCCGAAGAAACCGAUCCGUGUCCACCCCUAACAGAAACUAGGAGAGGGUUUUUGGUAAUUUCAAUGGAAAAAGCAAAAUGCAAGUUGUGGGAGAUGACAGCAGCUAAGAGGCUAUAUAGCAUUUGGAGUCUUGCAAGGAAGGAAGACAGCAAAUGAAACGUUAUGAGAAGCUGAUAGUCUGUUUCACCUUCAAAUGUUGUCUCGGUGCAGUCUGAACGAAAUAUUAUCAGAAUCUUAAAAUCUAAUGUAAUAAUAAAUAGAAUAGAAGGUGUUGGUCACAUAUAUAUUUUCACAAAAUAAAAGGCUCCUCCCCAACCAAUGUUCUUCAAUGAAUCUACUACUACUACUACUACUACCACACCCCAUUAAUAUCAUCAUCAGAUACCGAUGUAAAGACUCACACUGCAACACAACAGAAGACCAUCGACUGAGAGAAUCUAGAAGCCUUUUCUUCCUUGUUUUUUUCUUUUCCCUUCUCUCCCCCAAAUUCUAGGGUUCAUAAACAAACCAACCAUUUUCAGCCACAAUCGAUGGGCCGAACCUCGAGAACCCUCGAACCAUUCGCAGCAAUGCACCUUGGGUUUCGAUUCAAACGUUGAAAUAUCAUCCGAAAUCUAUACGUCUCUGUGAAAAGUCUCCAUCUUUUCCACCCAGAACAUCAGCUCCAUGGCCAAAAGCAGAACAAGCAAAAGGGAGCUCGAUUCUUACACAAUAAGAGACACGAAUAAGGUUGUCAAAGCUGGAGAUUGUGUGCUGCUGCGGCCUUCGGACAGCGAUAUGGCGCCAUACGUUGCGCGCGUGGAGAAGAUUGAGGCCGACCACCGCAACAACGUGACGGUGAGGGUGCGGUGGUACUACCGGCCUGAGGAGUCGAAAGGCGGGCGGAGACAGUUCCACGGAGCAAAGGAACUCUUCUUGUCCGACCACUACGAUAUCCAGAGCGCGAACACUAUUGAAGGCAUGUGCACCGUCCACACAUUCAAGAACUACACUAAGCUGCAGAAUGUCGGGAACGACGAUUACUUUUGCCGCUUCGAGUACAAAGCCACCACCGGCGCGUUCACGCCCGACCGGGUAGCAGUUUACUGCAAAUGUGAAAUGCCUUACAACCCGGAUGAUUUGAUGGUACAAUGUGAGGGCUGCAAGGACUGGUUUCAUCCUGCUUGUGUGGACAUGACUGCUGAAGAGGCAAAGAUGGUAGCGCACUUUGUGUGCUCUGAAUGUUUAUCUGAUAAAGAUAGAAAAAAGUCCGAGAAUGCACAUCCCACCUCUCCUUCACCUAAUGGCAAGGAAGCAUUCUAAAGUGGGAGAAGAAAUGCAAAAUUGAUACGUGGAAACAUUGAGUAACUUUUUCAAUUCAAAUAUGGUUAACUACCUUGCAGAACUGAGAGACUGUUUUUGGCUUAGUCUACUACUACAAAAACAACAUAAUAAGCCUUAAUCUUACCAGGUAGGGUUGGCCUUCUGCUUAGUCUUACUGAAGAAGGAAAAAUGAUUUUUUGUGGUUUUCUUUCUUAAUUUUUUUCUGUAAGUUACUUAAGUUGGGAACAUAAUAGAAUCUGAUAGUAUUGAAAAAAUUAGCAGCUUUGGACCAUUGAACAAGACGCAAAGAUGUGGAGUUUCCUGGUUUUACUAUUGAUUGGACUGCUUGGCAGUGCUGAAGCGCCAGAAGAUGUGAGUGUAGUCAGAGACGAGAUCAAGCCGAUGCAUGGUCAGAGCCAUGAGUAGUUGUAGCCUGUUAAUUUAGCCUUUUUAUCCUCGUGGCUGUUGUAUAGUGCAGGCGCCCAUGCUGGUUCUCCGCUCGAUCAGACUCUAGAGCUUGCCUUCAGUAGUUUAUUGUAGUAUUGUGAUUUGGAAGUAAAUUCUCUGUGCAUAAGGAUAGUUGAAGUUUACAUCCGUGGGGGUCCAGGAUUUUAGAAGCCAUAACUGGUAAAUUGAAAGUGUUGUUAUCGAUGAGAAUCGUAAGAUCCCAUUAUCAACUGGCAAACUAUAUAUGCUUUUACAUGGAUGGUGUUUUGCAUUUCAAUGGCA